rnacentral:lncRNA from 1 species
GUGAAGUCCCCUAUGGCGCGGAUAAAGGUUGCUCUGGAUGCAGCUCAGGUAUGUGCGUGUGUGUGGAUGUGUGUGUGUGUGUGCACGUAUGUAUGCACGUAUGUAUGUUGUUACAGGGUGGGUAACUUCGCCAGCGGCCCCCUUUCCCGGGGCAGUCCCUGCUCUCCCCUGCUAGAGGGGCACCUUAAUCCGUCACCCCAUCCGACUUCAGAAUGUAUUCGUUGGGUUCAGCAGCUCACCACCAGCAUCUAACCAAAUCUAGCGGAUCGACGGCGCAUCAACUUAGUCCCUGGUCAGCUCGCAAGUUGAUUUUAUCACGUCCUACAUCAUCCAUAUGAUGGGGGGCCACCUCCCAUUUCAACACUCCUCAAACACCCGAGGAGCCGGUAGACGGAUUUGAACCCGGGUCGGCCGGGAGCAGAAGUCAGGCCUUAACCUCUGCCAGCCGCCUUCCCAUGCACGUAUGUAUGCACGUAUGUAUGCACGUAUGUAUGCACGUAUGUAUGCACGUAUGUAUGCACGUAUGUAUGCACGUAUGUAUGCACGUAUGUAUGCACGUAUGUAUGCACGUAUGUAUGCACGUAUGUAUGCACGUAUGUAUGCACGUAUGUAUGCACGUAUGUAUGCACGUAUGUAUGCACGUAUGUAUGCACGUAUGUAUGCACGUAUGUAUGCACGUAUGUAUGCACGUAUGUAUGCACGUAUGUAUGCACGUAUGUAUGCACGUAUGUAUGCACGUAUGUAUGCACGUAUGUAUGCACGUAUGUAUGCACGUAUGUAUGCACGUAUGUAUGCACGUAUGUAUGCACGUAUGUAUGCACGCGGGAUGGCGGGUACUAUAGACACACGCUCACACACACAGACUCCCUCUUAUUACAACACCCUUCCACACCCACACGUCGCAGGGUAUGGAAUAUCUCCACUCCCGGGGUGUCGUACAUCUGAACCUCAAGACCGGCAACCUGCUCGUGGGCUUCUCAGAGAAGCAGCCGUCCUGCAAGGUCAGCUCGUACUACAUAGUACGAUAUGGUCGAUAUGGUCGUUUGCUCCGUCGUACAGUCCGGGCUUGUGCCAUUGGGUUUGUAACAUCGGCCCGUUAACGACCUCUUUCCCUCGCUCCACCUCGUUCUCUCUCCCUCGCUAAAGAGUGCAAAGCGUUGUUGUUGUUGAUGGUGGUGGUGGUGGUGGUGGUGGUGGCAAUUUUUUGGUGGCAAUUUUUGUCAGGCUGAGGAUUUGCGCCACGCGCGACCUCGGCACCUAUAAAGAAGUAUGUUGUUACAGGGUGGUUAACUUCGCCAGCGGCCCCCUUUCCCGGGGCAGUCCCUGCUCUCCCCUGCUAGAGGGGCACCCUAAUCCGUCACCCCAUCCGACUUCAGAAUGUAUUCGUUGGGUUCGGCAACUCACCACCAGCAUCCAACCAAAUCUAGCGGAUCAACGGCGCAUCAACUUAGUUCCUGGUCAGCUCGCAAGUUGAUAUUAUCACGUCCUACACCGUCCAUAUGAUGGGGGGCCACCUCCCAUUUCAUCACUCCUCAAACACCCGAGGAGCCGGCAGGCGGAUUUGAACCCGGGUCGACUGGGUCGACUGGGAGCAGAAGUCAGGCCUUAACCUCUGC